ensembl:lincRNA 1700037F24Rik RIKEN cDNA 1700037F24 gene
AUGUAAAAAACCAGGUAGUAAAGAGAGGGUCUUCAGCCAACGGGCUUUGUAUUUAGCCUCUGUACUGCAUAAAAGGCAGGGAGAAUGGAACACCUUUUCACCCUGGGGAGAAGGUGGAGGCUGAGGUCAGCCUGAGGUGGAACAUGGGAGUCUGGGAAGUAUGCCUCUUAGACACUCGUCCCCAUUCUCCUUGUGGUUUUCAUCUUACAUGGCCACCGCUUGCACGUCUCUGUCCUUGCUGUCCCUAAGCAAUCCUACUGUAAGAAAAACAGAGAUGCCUUCUGGUCAUCUCAGGCAGGGCAGCUUGGAACAGGAAGGCAGGCACCCUACCCAGAGGUCAGACCAACACCCCAGCAAUGGUGUGAAUGAUUCCUCUGUCUAGGAAAAACAUGGGGGGAAAGUGGGUGAGCUAGGGCAGAGGGUUUGGAAUAGUGAAGAACAAGGCACCGCCAUCUCCAGCAGAAAGGGCACAGUUAGUGCCACGCCUCAGUCAAGGCACACCUGUGAAGUGGCUACUCCAUUUCUUGAGGAACCCGGCACGAUCCAUGUGGAAAAGUGAGGAGUCCGGAGAGGCUGAGUGGAGGAACUCAAGGACAAGAAAGCACUUCUCCAGUGAAGAAGAGGCAGGGGCUGCAGGCUGGCAGAUGUAAAAUUCCCCAAUGUCUGUAGAAUUUUGGUAAUGUCCCCCACCGAAGUGAGGGAUAGGGGAUUAUGAUAUUCAGAUGUUGGGACAAGCCAGGAAUCUUUAACAAUUGUUUCUCCCACCCUNNNNNNCCCCCCCCCCCACACACACACACACACACCUCCAAGGGCAGGAGCUGAAGUACUUCCAACAAGACCCACCCCAGGUAACCAGCCGAAGUGAGUCAGUUAGGAGGGGUGUCCUCGGCCCUGGGCAAACAAUGGCAGAACCCUCUACCCCUCCCCUGUGCCCUCCACACCCAAGCCUCGGUAAUUAAAAUAUGAAUUCACCUUC